rfam:Bombyx mori DNA, contig: Bm_scaf12_contig9627, strain: p50T/Dazao, build 2, whole genome shotgun sequence.
UUAACUCUAUUUUGUAUGGAGUUGGAACGUUUGCCUAUGUUUGCCGCUAGGGGCACUGUUUCAGCUGCAUACUAAUUUCAGGUA